rnacentral:rRNA from 1 species
ACGCACGCUGGCGGCAUGCCUCACCCCUGCCAGUCGAACGCGACCUUCGGGUCUAGUGGCGCACGGGUGCGUAACGCGUGGGAACCUGCCCUUAGGUUCGGAAUAACUCCCCGAAAGGGGUGCUAAUACCGGAUAAUGUCUUCGGACCAAAGAUUUAUCGCCUUUGGAUGGGCCCGCGUUGGAUUAGCUAGUUGGUAGGGUAAAAGCCUACCAAGGCGACGAUCCAUAGCUGGUCUGAGAGGAUGAUCAGCCACACUGGGACUGAGACACAGCCCAGACUCCUACGGGAGGCAGCAGUGGGGAAUAUUGGACAAUGGGCGAAAGCCUGAUCCAGCAAUGCCGCGUGAGUGAUGAAGGCCUUAGGGUUGUAAAGCUCUUUUACCCGGGAUGAUAAUGACAGUACCGGGAGAAUAAGCUCCGGCUAACUCCGUG